UUAUUGAAAUUAAAGGAUAUAUUCAAUAUAUUUACUACAUUUCUCCCCGUACGAUAAAACUUCGAAGCUCUCAUCACAGUUGAACUUUUUUCCAUAAUCGGAAAGUUAGGUUAUUAUUGAAUUCUGAGAUAUAAAACACAGUUCUUGGACGUGAAUCUGUAUGAGAGAUCGGAUAUUAUAACUGAUAGUAUAUUUUGUCACUAAUAAUACUUAUUUUUUUCAGGCACAUAUCAAUUUAUCAGAUACAGAAAUGAAAAAAUCCUAGGAUGGCAAUUAUCAUCCCUCGGAGAGACUGUAUUAGGAAUAAAAAACCUUCUUCAUGGGUAAAGUCCUGAAGCAGUUCGUUCAGGAGAGCUUCUAUUUGAAAUAUAUGAUCUAUUUUUCAAGUUUACAUAAUGUAUUUCAUAUUAAAUUACAUACAAACUCAUAGAAUGACAAAUAUGUUUACUUGGUGUAUAAAUAUGAGAAUUUAUAGAUAACAACCUGUUCUUGGGGGCACACAUGAAUUUGUCAGAUCAUGAAAUGUAAAGCAAUGUCAAAAAAGCAUGUAUCGGUGAGAGUUUAUUGAAAUAAGAAAGGUUCUUCAUGGAUAAGCUUCUAGAGCAAUUCGUUCAGGAGAGUCUUUAUUUGAAGUAUAUAAACAUGCGAUUUUAUACAUAACACACCGUUCUUGGGGCUAAGUCUUUUCAGGCACACAUAAAUUUAUCAGAUCAUGAAAUGUCAUGUCAAAAAAGCAUGUAUCGGAGAGAGUUAAUUGAAAUAAAAAAGGUUCUUCAUGGAUGAGCUUCUAGAGCAAUUUGUUCAGGAGAGUUUUUAUUUGAAGUAUAUGAUCUAUUUUACAAGUUCACAUAAUAUAUUUCAUAUACAUUACAUGCAAACCCAUAGAAUGACAAAUAUCCUUCUUUAAGUUUCAGGCACACAUAAAUUUAUCAGAU